GCUUAUGGCCAUAUCAGCCUGGGUACGCCCGAUCUCGUCUGAUCUCGGAAGCUAAGCAGGGUCGGGCCUGGUUAGUACUUGGAUGGGAGACCGCCUGGGAAUACCAGGUGCUGUAAGCA
rnacentral:rRNA from 1 species